UACGGACCCAUAUCAAUCCGCUCAGAAAAACAAGGUCCUGUAUCUUUCAAAAAUCUGUUUUUAAUGUUGAUCGCUCAAAAAUCUUUAUUGGGAAAUAUCCUUUUAAUCUAAGAGAAGUUCAAGGACUUCCACACUGAUUUAAUACAAGGGGAGCCAAAGCCUUAAUCCUGAACUGAAGCUUGUACUCUGGUUAUUUCUUGGUUUAUUUGACUGGAAAAGGGUGUAUAUCUUAAUAAAUGGAAGAUCCUAGGAAGUAUAUUUAUAUUCUAUACUUUCAGCCUUUUGUAUCGAGUUAAAGGGAUGCUCUUAUAAAUUAUCACACUUAUUUGUAGUGAUUUAAUCAUUUUUACCUCAUUUAUUUUCGUAGCUCCCAAUGAAUCUGCUGAAAUGCCCGCACCAAGUAGAACAGCUGAUCGAGUGAUGUCUAGUUAAUCGAAGGAAACUAUCAUUUCACGAUCAGAAUUCGAGAUAAUUUGUGUCUUUUUAAGAUUUAUUGAAAGACCCAAUAUAUCUUUGAAAGUAUUAAUGGUCUCGUACCAAGCUUUGAUGGACUGUACAAUUUCUUGUUCAGAUCCUGCCAGAAACAAGACCUUUGAUUAGCUUUAUUUUAUCUAAGAAUUUAUCUGGAAAACCAUCUAGGUACAAUUGUUGGAUUAUGAACCUAUGAGAUAAACAGUCGAAAGCUUUUUCAAAAUCUAUUAGGAUUGUUGCAAAUUUUUUAUUAACUGUCGAACAGUGAUACAUUGCAUCUUGUAUUGACAGCGGAAUAUCUACCAAGUAUCUUCCCGACAUGAAACCUUUCUGAUCAGGAGAGAUGAUGUAUGGUAAAACAUAUUGUAUUCUUCUAUUUAAAAUGCCUGACCAACGUAAAAAUUCCUUAACCCAUAGAAUUUUUGGACAAAUCCCUUUUAAAAAAUAUUUUUUUAAGACCUCUUCCAAUGUCGGAGCCAUUUACAAAUCAAAAGUCUUAAAGAACUCGGAAGGAAGUCCAAAAGGUUUGGGAACUUUAUACAUAUAUAUUUUUUUCUCCAAUCAUUAUUCUUUCAUUCUAAUGGAGAGAGUAUAUAAAGUAAUCGAAUGAUUAUGCAAAGUGUUACAUAGUUUAACACUAAGGGUAUGUUGGAGAGUGUAAGUCAGAGCAUAUUUAAAGAUUGACAACGAUUGAUUGAUUUCCGGCUAUGCUUUCUAUGUAUGAUUAGGUCCAUGAAAACAUAACAAACAUUACCUAUUUAUUAUUCUUAAUUACAGAAAGGCGUUUUUAAGAGAUUCAAAUAUAAAUAGGUAAGAAAUAAACAUUUAAAAAUAAAGCCUAAAAAUUGUGCAUUUAAAUUAAUUAGGGCAAUAGGACCUUAGGUACUUAUCCCUGAAACUAUUUUGCCUCGGGACAUUUUGCCUUAAGGAUAUUUCGUCUGAGGUUUAAAUACCGUUAUUUUUUAGUUUAACUUUGAUUUCUUUUAAUAAGCACCAACACAUCACUACUUCUAUAUAGAGGCAGUAAGAAGCCAUUAAAUUUUGAGAUAUCAAGGUCAAAGGUCAAGGUACCACAAUAUAUAUAUUUUGCUAUUUAUCAUCAUAAAGUUUGAACAAAAUACGGCCAAUUUUCCUCCAGGGCAAUUUUCCUAGUACCGUCCUGUGAAACCCUUUUCAUCGUUAAUGUGGAGCAACGAGCCUUGGAUUUAUACGAAAUUACUUUUUCCCCACCUAUUAUAAUUAACAAAAAAUAGUAUUCUACACAAGAACAAUAAUUUACCUCUGUAUAUCAAAAUAAUAAUAUAAUAUUUA
rnacentral:lncRNA from 1 species